rnacentral:lncRNA from 1 species
UAGGGUUUAGAGUUAAAGGGUGGGGUUUAGGAUUUAGGGUUUAAGGUUUACGGUUUAGUGUUUAGGGUUUAGGGUUUAGAUUUUAGGGUUUAGGGUUUAGGGUUUAGGGUUUAGAUUUUAGGGUUUAGGGUUUAGAGUUUAGGGUUUAUGGUUUAUGGUUUAGGGUUUAUGGUUUAGAGUUUAGGGUUUAGGGUUUAAAGUUUAGGGUUUAGGGUUUAGAGUUGAGAAAUGAGGUUUUGGG